rnacentral:lncRNA from 1 species
GAGCUGCGGCAGAGGGGAGAGCGCGCGAGCGAGCCUGCAAGCGAGUGUGCGAGCGAGCAAUCCACCCGGGCUGGCUGAGCCGGGGAGGUCAAGCACGUGAGAACGGGGGAGAGGAGGAGGAGGAGGAGGGAGAGGAGGCAGGGAGCCCGCCAGCCUGCUGGGGAGGCGGCUGCGCUUGACAGCGGAGAGGCAGAGCGGCAGAGGAAAAGGAGGAAGAAAGCAGGGCUGGGUUGGUGAGCUGCCGAAACUCCCCGCAUCCUGGGAUCAUGGGCUUUGUAGUCCGAAUAAGUAGCCUUUCUCAGCUCGGCGGAGGGAGGAGCCAGCGGCCGAGGGUGGGUGACUUUUGCAGCUCCCGGAGUUUCCAAAGAGGUUCGCCUCUUUUUCUCACUCUCCUCUUUCCAGCCGUGCAAAGGAAGGCGAUGCCCUGCUCCGAGCUGCUUCUCAUCUUGCACCAAGAUUGGAAGGUUUUCGCAUCAGCGGAGAAUGCAGGAAGCAACCCAGAGGACAAUAAGUCCUUAACAGCUGGGGUCCAAGAUAUCUCAAGGACCGCAUCUCCCAUCAUGAGCCAGCUCAGGUGUUAAGAUCAUCAGAGGAGGCCUUUCUCUUAGUCCCACCACCCUCACAGGUGCAUUUGGUGGGGACACAGUAGAGAGCGUUCUCUGCCUUUCCUCCCAGACUUUGGAACUCCCUCCCACAGGCCUUCUCUGCCUUUGCUCCCAGACUUUGGAACUCCCUCCCACUGGAGGCCAGCCUGGCCCCAUCUUGACUGUCCUUCUGCAAGCAGGCAAAGACCUUUGUCUUCAGGCAGACUUUCCCUCAGGGACUCGCUGCCUGAGUGGGGUUUUUUUUUAAUGGAUGGUUGUGCCUUGUUGCUUUUUAAAAUGUGUUUUUUAAUUGCUGCAUUUUAUUUACCACUUAAAAAAUAUAAUAUUUGUUUAAAUUUUUAAAAGAUUUGUAUAUUUAAAGUUUUUAGCUUUUAAAUGUUUUUUUAAAUGAUGCAACUGCCUAAAAUUCUUUUUAAGGAAAAUAACAGUGGGAUAAAAUAUUUUAAAUCAGUCAGUCAAUAAACAAAGCACCUCUACUCCCCUUUGGGUUUCU